rnacentral:tRNA from 1 species
AGGGAGACCUCCCGACUCAAAGCCGAAAGCACACAGCAAUUAAGCGAGAGUUGGUCAUCCCAAGGUCGUGCGAGUUAUAGAGUUAAGGCGGCUUUCAAACUAUUACCUAGGUGAGGGACAUGGGCUAUUAGCUCAGGUGGUUAGAGCGCACCCCUGAUAAGGGUGAGGUCCCUGGUUCGAGUCCAGGAUGGCCCACCACAUCAAGUUGGGGGGUAUGGCUCAGUUGGUAGAGCGCCUGCUUUGCAAGCAGGACGUCAGCGGUUCGAGUCCGCUUACCUCCACUGAAGGUGCAGUUUUGCAUCUUUUAUCACCAAUCCGCUCAUUUCAGCAACUCAGCUAGCCAGCAGAAGUGUUAGGAUAGAGAGCCUGCUGGGAUUGAUUCCGGCGAGAACCUUGAAAACUGCAUAGCAAUUAAAUUUUUCUGUCAGGUAGAAACGGCUGGCAGUUGAUUGUCAAUUAGCGUUAGAGCAGCAAUGCUUGAUAUCAAGAUUGGC